GUUUCCUUUAGUCUGUGGUGAUAAUAGGAAGAUCGUGAGGCCGCGUGAUAAAGCGCAGAAAGGAGCUACGAAGAAGCUUGGUCACGGCCGAGAUUCGCGAAUUAAUUACGCGCUGGCACGAAUUCGCCGAGUGUCGUGAACGGCGAACGAGCUUGAGGUUGAAACUUUCGCGACGACGACGCGACGACCGAAAAACGACAGAUGGCCGCGAGUUUCGACUGGAACAACGGACCUUUUAUAAUGUAUUCGGCCAAACCAGAUUGUCGG
rnacentral:misc_RNA from 1 species